UACCAGCACCCCGAGUGGUCGGGACGAUUAUUGGGCCUAAAGCAUCCGUAGCCGGUCCUGCGAGUCUUCCGUUAAAUCCAGCUGCUCAACAGAUGGGCUGCGGAAGAUACUACAGGGCUAGGAGGCGGGAGAGGCAAGCGGUACUUUAUGGGUAGGGGUAAAAUCCUUUGAUCCAUAGAAGACCACCAGUGGCGAAGGCGGCUUGCCAGAACGCGCUCGACGGUGAGGGAUGAAAGCUGGGGGAGCAAACCGG
rnacentral:rRNA from 1 species